rnacentral:rRNA from 1 species
AUUGAACGCUGGCGGCAUGCCUUACACAUGCAAGUCGAACGGCAGCGGGGACUUCGGUCCGCCGGCGAGUGGCGAACGGGUGAGUAAUGUAUCGGAACGUACCAUUCAGUGGGGGAUAACUAUCCGAAAGGAUAGCUAAUACCGCAUAUUCUGUGAGCAGGAAAGCAGGGGAUCGCAAGACCUCGCGCUGAUUGAGCGGCCGAUAUCAGAUUAGCUAGUUGGUGAGGUAAAGGCUCACCAAGGCGACGAUCUGUAGCGGGUCUGAGAGGAUGAUCCGCCACACUGGAACUGAGACACGGUCCAGACUCCUACGGGAGGCAGCAGUGGGGAAUUUUGGACAAUGGGGGCAACCCUGAUCCAGCCAUGCCGCGUGAGUGAAGAAGGCCUUCGGGUUGUAAAGCUCUUUCGGCCGGGAAAAAAUCGCAUGGGUUAAUACCCUGUGUGGAUGAUGGUACCGGAAUAAGAAGCACCGGCUAACUACGUGCCAGCCGCCGCCGUAACAC